rnacentral:rRNA from 1 species
GAUGAACGCUGGCGGCGUGCUUAACACAUGCAAGUCGAACGGAAAGGCCCAAGCUUGCUUGGGUACUCGAGUGGCGAACGGGUGAGUAACACGUGGGUGAUCUGCCCUGCACUUCGGGAUAAGCCUGGGAAACUGGGUCUAAUACCGGAUAGGACCACUUCUUGGAUGUUGUGGUGGAAAGUUUUUUCGGUGUGGGAUGAGCUCGCGGCCUAUCAGCUUGUUGGUGGGGUAAUGGCCUACCAAGGCGUCGACGGGUAGCCGGCCUGAGAGGGUGUACGGCCACAUUGGGUCUGAGAUACGGCCCAGACUCCUACGGGAGGCAGCAGUGGGGAAUAUUGCACAAUGGGCGCAAGCCUGAUGCAGCGACGCCGCGUGGGGGAUGACGGCCUUCGGGUUGUAAACUCCUUUCGCUAGGGACGAAGCGUUUUGUGACGGUACCUGGAGAAGAAGCACCGGCUAACUACGUG